ensembl:lncRNA
GGCAUAAUUACAUGAAGGGAAAAUGUCAGAAAAUAAUUUCUCCUAAAAAUUUGAGCGGAGCGUGGAGCGAUUUCGCCGGAGCGGCAGGAAAUUUAAGAUGAGCGCGGAGCGGUUUUGAGCGGAGCGCCCUGGCACAACGUUGAGCGGCAGAGCGAAUGAGCGGACAUCCUCCUGAGCGGGGAGCGGGAAUUGCGCGGCGCUCCGCUCACAUGCUCUGAUGGGCACAGAGUAUGGCCUUCUAGGGAUGAACGUGAUCAAAGACUGUUGGGAGAAGCUUUUCCUAAAUGGCCAUCCUGGGGAAAUGGCGUUCAAGUCCAUUUGCCAUAUGCAAGAGGAUCCAGGCCCCAGACGAGCCCCUUCAAGUAAGGGCAAGGCUGACUCAGCAGAGCCCCAUCUCCAUCCCCCCACGCACGGAGAUGAUCGUCUGGACUGAUGUUUCCCCAGUAGCAGGCUCCCCUGAUCAUCUCGUUCUAGUGGAAAACCUCCCAGACGAUACUGGAGCAGAGGAGCGCGGUUGGCGAGUGGCCCGGACCUUGAGCUGGGCACGAGGAGGAUCUGGUGCAGGUCUUCUGGUCCGCUCCGGCCUCCGUGACCAGCGAGGGACGGCGCCAGCGGACGGAUCUCCACUCAACAUCCUAGAGCACUGUUUAUUUGGUUUGCUUUGUUUUUCCAACUCGCCGUUUGAGGAACUGGUCUGGCGCGAGUUGGAACAAACGUUUUUAUACUCUUUUACUGUUUGUUGUCUGUUAUAGGGAUAUUUUAUCAACAAGUCUGUCCUCCUUGUAUGGGACCCCUAUAAACCAGGGGGUGGCUACGGCAGGCCCUGUUGGAUACCAGGCUGAAUUGUUCAGUGAGCCCUUCCUUCUGUGUUCUUGAG